rnacentral:rRNA from 1 species
UACGGAAGGCAGCAGUGGGGAAUAUUGCGCAAUGGGCGAAAGCCUGAUGCAGCUAUGCCGCGUGUAUGAAGAAGGCCUUAGGGUUGUAAAGUACUUUCAUCGGGGAGGAAAAAACAAAACUAAUAAUUUUAUUUCUUGACGUUACCCGAAAAAGAAGCACCGGCUAACUCCGUGCCAGCAGCCGCGGUAAUACGGAGGGUGCUAGCGUUAAUCAGAAUUACUGGGCGUAAAGAGCACGUAGGUGGUUUUUUUAAGUCAGAUGUGAAAUCCCUGGGCUUAACCUAGGAACUGCAUUUUGAAACUGAAAUACUAGAGUAUCGUAGAGGGAGGUAGAAUUCUAGGUGUAGCGGUGAAAUGCGUAGAUAUCUGGAGGAAUACCUGUGGCGAAAGCGGCCUCCUAAACGAAUACUGACACUGAGGUGCGAAAGCGUGGGGAGCAAACAGGGAUUAGAUACC